GACGAACGCUGGCGGCGUGCUUAACACAUGCAAGUCGAACGGAGAUUAUUAAUGAAGCUUGCGAUUUAAUAAUCUUAGUGGCGGACGGGUGAGUAACGCGUGGGCAACCUACCCAUAAGCGGGGGAUAACAGUUGGAAACGACUGCUAAUACCGCAUAAGCUAUUGAGGUCGCAUGACCUAAAUAGUAAAGGUGGCGAAAGCUAUCACUUAUGGAUGGGCCCGCGUCUGAUUAGCUAGUUGGUGGGAUAGCAGCCUACCAAGGCAACGAUCAGUAGCCGGCCUGAGAGGGUGGACGGCCACACUGGGACUGAGACACGGCCCAGACUCCUACGGGAGGCAGCAGUGGGGAAUAUUGCGCAAUGGGGGAAACCCUGACGCAGCGACGCCGCGUGAGCGAAGAAGGCCUUAGGGGUCGUAAAGCUCUGUUGUAAGGGACGAAUGUUUAUCUGGCGAACAGUCAGAUAAAGUGACGGUACCUUACCAGCAAGCCCCGGCUAACUACG
rnacentral:rRNA from 1 species